rnacentral:lncRNA from 1 species
UGAAAAAUAUUUUUUACUUUUUUUAGAUUUUAGGUUUUCUAAUUUUUCAAGUAAUGGUGUAGCAUAAUUUCAUAGUGUCAUGUCAUCACAAUUUUACAGUAUACAAGUUCAAGUAUCAAAAUGGAUCUAAUUGCUAAAUUUAGAGGCAAAAAAUAUCGUUAGCUCAAAAUAAAAUGAUCCAAACUUGUAAUGAUCUAACUCAAAAAAAUUUGAACCUCAAACCUGAACAUCAAAAUAGUUCAAAUCUGAAAUGAUGUGAACAUUUUAAAACCAAAAUUAACUUAUUACAAUUGAUAUGACCUAAAUCAA